UUUCCUUUACGGGAAACACGUACAAAGCUGCAGAAAGAUAAGGUCUAACUAAGAACUAGCUGUACCCAAUUGAACAAGCAUACAAACAGAAUAUUAAAAGCAAGAAAAAAACCAAUGCUCAGAUUCUGAUUGAAGCAAAGUAAAACCUGUGAUCAAUGAUGCUGCCAGGUUUACACUGUCAGGAACAUCAUGAGUCAGAGACGGACCGGCCAUGAGAGUCGGAACGAUCGUUAUGAGAUCGAUGUUAUUUUCUCGAGCGAAUUUCCAAGCUUCCUUCUCCGCUAGCGUCUUCGAAACAGAGUAUCCCUGCAUAUAUGUAGUAAAAAUUGAAUAUAUAUUUUUGGUUGUCCAUCCGGUUUCUAGGGUUUUGCCCUGACUAAUCCGGAUCCGACCCACGUCGCGCACGUGAGAUGGUGGGUGAAUCUGCUAGCGGGGAAGUAAAAAUUGAAUAUAAGAAACUAAAGAUUAAAUAGUUUGUUUGAGUAGAUUAUUAGUUACCCAAGUGGGUGGCUUCUCUGAAGUCAAGUAGUCAAUAUCAGUCCAAUUUUGCUCA